GAUUUCUGGCUUGAAACAUUUUGCCGGCCACGGUUUCGUGUGUUAGUGCUUGAUGUUCUGGCCAUCCUUCCAAUCGCUAUGCUUCGUUCUUAAUUGAGCGGGGUGUGGUAUUGGAUCUUUUACUUUGAAAAAAUUAGAGUGUUUCAAGCAGGCUUUAUGCUAUGAAUACAUUAGCAUGGAAUAAUAAUUUAGGACUUCGGUUCUAUUUUGUUGGUUUCUAGGACUGAAGUAAUGAUUGAUAGGGAUAGUUGGGGGUGCUAGUAUUCAGCGGCCAGAGGUGAAAUUCUCGGAUUCGCUGAAGACUAACUUAUGCGAAAGCAUU
rnacentral:rRNA from 1 species